UACAGAGGGUGCAAGCGUUAAUCGGAAUUACUGGGCGUAAAGCGUGCGUAGACGGUUACAUAAGUCGGGUGUGAAAGCCCCGGGCUCAACCUGGGAAUGGCAUUCGAGACUGUGUAGCUAGGAUGCGGAAGAGGGAAGCGGAAUUUCCGGUGUAGCGGUGAAAUGCGUAGAUAUCAGGAGGAACACCGGUGGCGAAGGCGGUUCUCUGGGCAUUACCUGACGCUGAGGAGCGAAAGUGUGGGGAGCGAACAGG
rnacentral:rRNA from 1 species